UACGGGGGGAGCAAGCGUUGUUCGGAUUUACUGGGCGUAAAGGGCGCGUAGGCGGCCUCCGCAAGUCGACUGUGAAAUCUCCGGGCUUAACCCGGAACGGUCAGCCGAUACUGCGGGGCUAGAGUGCAGAAGGGGCAACUGGAAUUCUCGGUGUAGCGGUGAAAUGCGUAGAUAUCGAGAGGAACACCUGCGGCGAAGGCGGUUUCCUGGACAGUUACUGACGCUCAGGCACGAAAGCGUGGGGAGCAAAAGGG
rnacentral:rRNA from 1 species